ACCCAAGAUUUGUUUGUCUCUUCUCACUUUGAAAUAAUUUAAUUUUAAUUUUGGUCUUGGAAGAGUCUUGCUAGUUAGUAAUCAUGGAUUUAUGUGCACCAACAUGGCCUUUGUAACAUGAGAAUGUUGUCUUGGGGGGCCUGAUGGGGUCCUGCUUUUACUUAGCGCAUCAUGGUAGCCUUGCUAUGCCGUGAAAACGAGGUGACCUUGCAUGGCGAUUGAGCUGGAAGAAGGCCGCUGAGAAAGUAGAAAGUGGUUGCUGCAAGGACCAUAGAUGUGGUCAGUGUGCCUACACUUCAUUGGCGACCCCGACGUGAUUCGAAUACGCCUCUAGAUUCCCGACGGCCGAUGCGAUCAGUUCUCGACGUGACGGAACGUAUCCAGACGUGCUUUUCACAAGUUCCCAAAACGACUUCUUACAACCACCAUGCGUUCCGCGGAAACUAGUCAAGUUCCUCUCCAACUGUAAGGGGCUGUGAAUGGAUUGUGCGAUCAUGGGACUUGUCGACUUCUACCACCAACUCAACCACGUUGCCCGGCUGGCACCAGCCCUCCAAGCUCUGAGACAGGAUCACCCCGCACAGCGGCCAAAUCAGCUGAUCUCAUUAAAAACUGCCAGUUCGCCAAUGUCAACACACUCGUCCGCGCCUCGUUGGCAGUUUCGCAAUCACACCACGUCAUCCCAGUUGUGUCUCGUCCCUCGCUUCAACCUCUCCAAUGAUUUCACCGUGCCCGGUCACCCGCUUCGCCCCUUGACACUUUGGCUACACUCACAGCUCUGCGCCGAUGCCCAGUGUCUUCAGCAUCAUCGCUCUCCCUACGCCUGCACCCCGUCAAUGCUCUCCCUACGCCUGCACCCCGUCAAUGGACAACUAUCCGUCACAAAGCCGAAUCGUGAGUACUGAAGAUGAUCUGCAACCCUCGUGCCGCUCGCACGGCAUCUCUGUUCUUCAACCCCCCCCCCCCCCCCCGCCGCUCCUCACGCAACCCACUACCUACAUGUACGGCUGCACCCCGUCAAUGGACAACGAACAUGCUAUUCGUCACAAAGCCGAACCGUGAAUGCGGGAGAUGAUCCGCAACCCUCGUGCCUCUCGCCCUGUUCUUCAACUUGCCGCUCCUCACACAACCCACUGUGGCACUGUUUGCGCUUUUCCUGACUACUAGUAUUUCUACAGUGUAGCUGCUGCCGCUCAUCACCCCUACUGUUCUCGUUAUCGUUCGCACUGUAGCAUUUCACUAGGCGGGCAGCUACCGGUAUGUAGCGGCUAUUCGUCUUCACUAGCUACCGUAGCAGUGUACCGGCGGACUGAACAGUUACCUGUUGUUAACAACACCGGCCUGCACAGCGGCGGAUCUAGCGAUCUCUACAGCCCGGGGGGUUCCAGUAUAGUCAAAACCUGAAUAGCGGACACAUGUACAUGGACACGCAUAUGGUUGCCAGUAGCACAUUUACGAAAUUUAAGGGGUUCCACGGAACCCCUGGAACCUCUCCUGGAUCCACCCCAGCUGCACCUCUUGAGCAUAAACGCAUGUCCCACGCAUUGCAUGCACAGCAUUCUUACUAACACAGCGCUGACUCUCCUCUCCCACGCAUUGCCGGCUUUUGUUAUCCAUGCAUUCCGAGAGUGGGCUCCCUAUGUUUGGACUUCGUUCCUCCGCAUAGCUGUCACCGCCGGACCUUAUUUUCUUCACCACUGCACGCAUAACGACUAUUGCUUUUUUUUCUUUUUCUUUUUACAAAAUCCACAUAUCUCCAGACACUGCGGUGAAUAAUGGAGUGUAGUGGAGGGGGCAAAGCUCCCAGCUGUUCUAGCGAUGCCUUGGGAAGUGUAGCCACCCACCACUCUAUCUGCAUGCCUACUCUUUCUACUAACAUCUAGGCUGUACAACAUUCUCUCUAUUGCUGCACUCCACCUAGAGCAUCGACAAGCAUGCCUGCCUUCAACCUAUAAAAGCCUCUGCCCUUCCCUUCUCCAUCAUCUCACAAUCCAGUCACAGCUUUCUGUAGUCUGACUUUACUGAUCAAUCAUCUGAACCCGUUGCACUUGUCGUGUGUGCCUGCCUACCCUUCACAGUUCACUCUCAGAAUCAGCCAACAGUUUUCAGCCAAA